rnacentral:lncRNA from 13 species
UGAGAAGUGGUGUUCCCACCUGAUAAACAAGCACAUAUGACAUCGUCUAUUGUGUAACUUGACUGCUGUUCAUUAUUGUUACCAUCAUUAUAUCUCCAAUGUGACAGCUUUGGUUUUCUGAAAAUGAUUUAAUUGGCUAAAAAAUACCCCCUGUCCUUUUUCAAGGUUCAUGCUGCCUGUUUUGUUCUUUCUCUCAGACGGGAAGGAAAGUCUAAGCAAGAAUGCUCAAGGAGGCAUUUUGAGGCCCCUGUGGAGUGGAGGUGCCUCCUUUGACCUUUCCAUCAGUCUAUUCAUUCCUCACCAGGAAGAUUCCACAAAAACAAUUUGAGAAUCUUAUGUGAAAUAGCAGUGAGCUUUUGCAGCUAGUUAUAUGUGAUGACAGAAACAGAAUUCCAUGCUGAGAGACAGUCUAUUGGUUCUCUGUCUUCUGGUGCAUUUGGACCACCUGAAAGGACAACCUGUCAGAAUGGAGGCCACACUCAUACACAGCUCUUAGGACUGUGGAAGACUGUCUGGGUCAGGGAUCAAGAUGAUCAUGCUCAAAAGACAACACAGAGUUCAGUGCCACACAAUUGCUGUGUUCUCUCUCCCCUAAUGACCAGAGACACUCUGUACCAUGCUGCCACUGCUGGAUGUUGGAAAGGGGUUCAUAGAAUAUUAUACUGUCCAGCUCCUGAACUUAGGUGUGGCCAUGUGACUAUUGUGACCAAUACAGUUAAAAGAAACAUCCUUUAAUUCUGGGUAGAAAUAUCAACCAUGGGCACUUGAUUCUCUAGCAUUCUGUUCUCCUGCUAGCAUGUUGUGAAAGCAUUUGUUAAUAUAGAGGUGCUGUAAGAUCCAAAGAGCAGAAAUUGCUGAGCCAACAGUGGAGGACAGCUCCUCAGAGAGUUGUCUGCAGAGAACUUAGUUGUUGGAGCUGGAGGUUGUUUGCUAUCACAGAAAACCUAACCUGUUUUUAUUUAUGCAUUUACUUCUGAUGGGUAAGAGAAGGGGCUCUAAAUAUUUAUGUUAACAUUCUUCACACUUGCAUCUUCUCAUUGAAUUAUCAAAACAGCCCCGUAAAUUGGUACCACAUUUACAUCGACUUUGUAGAUAAGGAUACAAUAGCUCAGGGAAGUGAAGUUGCACCAGGGCAGUAACUUCUAAAAGGGCAGAACUGGGGCUUAGCCCCAGGUCAGAGCCCAUGCUCCUUUGACCCUACACUCUGUUGCCUCCAGUAGUAUUUGUUCAUCUGCCAAGUAAAGCACUAAACACUUUCCUGUUUGACAUCACAGUCCUCACACAUCUGAUGAGCACCAGUUGUGUUCACAGCCUCAUCCCAGAUGGUUGCAUAAUAAAUUUAAUGAUAGAAGAGGUGUUAUUAUCUUC